rnacentral:rRNA from 1 species
AGCAGCCGCGGUAAUUCCAGCUCCAAUAGCGUAUAUUAAAGUUGUUGCAGUUAAAAAGCUCGUAGUUGAAUUUCGGGGUUAGUAGGUUGGUCGUGCCUCAGGUAUGUACUGAUCUCACUGAUUCCUCCUUCCUGAUGAACCGUAAUGCCAUUAAUUUGGUGUUGCGGGGAAACUGGACUGUUACUUUGAAAAAUUAGAGUGUUUAAAGCAGGCUAACGCUUGAAUACAUUAGCAUGGAAUAAUGAAAUAGGACGUUCGAUCCUAUUUUGUUGGUUUCUAGGACUGACGUAAUGAUUAAUAGGGAUAGUUGGGGGCAUUAGUAUUCAAUUGUCAGAGGUGAAAUUCUUGGAUUUAUUGAAGACUAACUACUGCGAAAGCAUUUGCCAAGGAUGUUUUCAUUAAUCAAGAACGAAAGUUAGGGGAUCGAAGACGAUCAGAUACCGUCGUAGU